UGUUGAAACAAAACUCAGACAACCUGGCAGGAUUGGCCAAAAGAUAAAAGAAGGUGCAAACAACGUCUUGACUGAAAAGGGGGUCCCCAGGGGUUUCCUGUCGAGCAGGUGAGCACAAGACACGUGACAGCGUGGAGGAUGGCGCUUUGGGUCAGCGGCGAACACCCGACCGCAGGAGAAAGCCCACUCUGGGGGUGCGUCUGGGCCCACCCCGGGGGCGAUGGGGACAGAGGGACGACUGGGAACCUCCAUCUCCUGGGGACAGACGGAGCACGAGCGGCGGAGGGGCAGAGAGAGAGAGGGAGAC